rnacentral:rRNA from 1 species
UACGUAGGGUGCGAGCGUUGUCCGGAAUUAUUGGGCGUAAAGGGCUCGUAGGCGGUUUGUCGCGUCGGGAGUGAAAUCAUCUGGCUUAACUGGGUGCUUGCUUUCGAUACGGGCAGACUAGAGGUAUGCAGGGGAGAACGGAAUUCCUGGUGUAGCGGUGAAAUGCGCAGAUAUCAGGAAGAACACCGAUGGCGAAGGCAGCUCUCUGGGACGGUACUGACGCUGAGACGCGAAAGCGUGGGGAGCGAACAGG